GACGAACGCUGGCGGCGUGCUUAACACAUGCAAGUCGAACGGAAAGGCCCGGCUUUUGUGGGGUGCUCGAGUGGCGAACGGGGGAGUAACACGUGAGUAACCUGCCCUUGACUUUGGGAUAACUUCAGGAAACUGGGGCUAAUACCGGAUAGGAGCUCCUGCUGCAUGGUGGGGGUUGGAAAGUUUCGGCGGUUGGGGAUGGACUCGCGGCUUAUCAGCUUGUUGGUGGGGUAGUGGCUUACCAAGGCUUUGACGGGUAGCCGGCCUGAGAGGGUGACCGGCCACAUUGGGACUGAGAUACGGCCCAGACUCCUACGGGAGGCAGCAGUGGGGAAUAUUGCACAAUGGGCGGAAGCCUGAUGCAGCAACGCCGCGUGCGGGAUGACGGCCUUCGGGUUGUAAACCGCUUUCGCCUGUGACGAAGCGUGAGUGACGGUAAUGGGUAAAGAAGCACCGGCUAACUACGUG
rnacentral:rRNA from 1 species